GAUGAACGCUGGCGGCGUGCUUAACACAUGCAAGUCGAACGGACAGGCCCAAGCUUGCUUGGGUACUCGAGUGGCGAACGGGUGAGUAACACGUGGGUGAUCUGCCCUGCACUUAGGGAUAAGCCUGGGGAACUGGGUCUCAUACCGGAUAGGACCACCUUUUGGAUGGUGUGGUGGAAAGUUUCUCGGUGUGGGGUGAGCUCGUGGCCUAUCAGCUUGUUGGUGGGGUAAUGGCCUACCAAGGCGUCGACGGGUAGCCGGACCGAGAGGGUGUACGGCCGUAGUGGGACCGAGGGGCGGCCAAGGCACCGACGGGAGGCAGCUGGGGGAAAGAUUGCACAAGCGGCGCCAGCCGAAUGCAGCAACUCCGCGGAGGGGAGGACGGCCUUCUGGUUGGAAACUCAUUUCGCAAGUGACGAAGCGUUAUGUGACGGUACCUGGAGAAGAAGCAACGGCUAACUACGUG
rnacentral:rRNA from 1 species